CCCCUAGAUGUUCUGGGCCGCACGCGCGCUACACUGAACAGUUCAACAAGUCUUAACCUUGGCCGAUAGGUCUGGGUAAUCUUUGAACGCUGUUCGUGAUUGGGAUAGACCUUUGCAAUUAUGGGUCUUCAACGAGGAAUUCCUAGUAAACGCAAGUCAUCAGCUUGCAUUGAUUACGUCCCUGCCCUUUGUACACACCGCCCGUCGCACCUACCGAUUGAAUGUGUUGGUGAGGAGCUCGGAUUGGCAGCAGUUGGUGGUUCGCCACCGGCUAUUGCUGAGAAGUCCUCCAAACCGCCCCAUUUAGAGGAAGGAGAAGUCGUAACA
rnacentral:rRNA from 1 species